UACAGAGGGUGCGAGCGUUGUCCGGAAUCACUGGGCGUAAAGGGCGCGCAGGCGGCCUUAGAAGUCAGAUGUGAAAGCCCCGGGCUCAACCUGGGAAUGGCAUUUGAUACUCUGAGGCUGGAGUACGGGAGAGGAGAGUGGAAUUCCCAGUGUAGAGGUGAAAUUCGUAGAUAUUGGGAAGAACACCGGUGGCGAAGGCGGCUCUCUGGACCGUAACUGACGCUGAGGCGCGAAAGCGUGGGGAGCAAACAGG
rnacentral:rRNA from 1 species